rnacentral:misc_RNA from 1 species
UUGAGGUUUUUGGUUUACUUGAAGUAAAUCAAACUUCCCACCCCAUGAUAAUUUAUUUUGGAACCAGCUUCGGUAGGACUGUUUUUUGAUAUCUUAGGAAAUCAAAAACGACUGAUAGUUGAAAGACUGUUGGUUAGUGCUUACCGAUAGCAUCAAACAAAAAACUCUUGAUAAUUUGUUGUCUAUUCAAUUAAAAAAUGAAUUA